CUACGGGUGGCAGCAGUUAGGAAUAAUCUGCAAUGCGCGCAAGCGUGACAGUUUGAACCAGAGUGUUUAUCAAAUGAUAAACUUUUAUGAAAUGUAAAAAGUUUCACGAAUAAGGACUGGGUAAGACUAGUGCCAGCCGCCGCGGUAAUACUAGCGGUCCAAGUCGCAGCCAUUUUUAUUGGGUCUAAAACAUCCGUAGCUUGCUUGAUAAGUUUCUUGUGAAAUCCUGUCCCUUAAAGACAGGGCGGGCAAGAAAUACUGUUAAGCUAGAGAUCGGGAGACGUAAAGAGUACAGUUGAAGUAGCGGUAAAAUGUGUUAAUCUCAGCUGGACUAACAAUAGCGAAGGCACUUUACGAGAACGGUUCUGACAGUAAGGGAUGAAGGCCAGGGGCGCAAAACGGAUUAGAUACCCCCGUAGUC
rnacentral:rRNA from 1 species